rnacentral:rRNA from 1 species
GACGUAGGGCGCGAGCGUUGUCCGGAUUUAUUGGGCGUAAAGAGCUCGUAGGCGGCUUGUCGCGUCGUUCGUGAAAACCCACGGCUCAACUGUGGGCUUGCGGUCGAUACGGGCAGGCUGGAGUUCGGUAGGGGAGACUGGAAUUCCUGGUGUAGCGGUGAAAUGCGCAGAUAUCAGGAGGAACACCGGUGGCGAAGGCGGGUCUCUGGGCAACAACGUGACGCUGAGGAGCGAAAGCGUGGGGAGCGAACAGG